UACAGAGGGUGCGAGCGUUAAUCGGAAUUACUGGGCGUAAAGCGUGCGCAGGCGGUUCGUUAAGUCAGAUGUGAAAGCCCCGGGCUCAACCUGGGAACUGCAUUUGAAACUGGCGGGCUUGAGUAUGGCAGAGGGGGGUGGAAUUCCGCGUGUAGCAGUGAAAUGCGUAGAGAUGCGGAGGAACACCGAUGGCGAAGGCAGCCCCCUGGGCCAAUACUGACGCUCAGGCACGAAAGCGUGGGGAGCAAACAGG
rnacentral:rRNA from 1 species